GAAUGUGAUUUCAUCAUUGUAAAUCCGCUGAAGCAUGAGAUUUAUAAUUUUCACUCAUUUUACCUUCAUUUAUCGUGAUUGCCCUAUGGAAAGUAAAAGAAUUCCUAGCUUUGUAUGCAUGAAUGUAGCUAUGCUACAGCGCGAGGUUAUCUUGAAGAAAUUCAUUUGCAUAGUUGUGAAUUCCGAGGUGAAUUUAGUCUUGAAAUUUGCACUUUUCAAUAGAAAUCUAUACUUGGGUGUAUAUGUAUUAAGGAUAAUGAGGUACCAUAUUUUUUUUUAGACUAGGAUCACUGGAGACACUGUGAGACUAAUGUUCAGUGACGCCAAGAAAACAGUGAGAGAGAGGCUUUGGAGGUUCACUGACGGUCCAUUAGAUUUUUUGGCAUCGCCAUCAUUCUGUACCUGUGUCUCACCUCAAUUUUCCAUGCUUCACGCACAGAGAUUCCAGCCUACGGUCGCUCUACAAUAGAGGCUCUUCUCUAUUUUUGGGCACGACUAGUGGUGAGACAGAGAAAACUUCUUGCGUCUAACAUUCCAUCCUCUUCGUCUUCUCAAAAGACUUUUGUACCAUUGGCAUUUUUUGUGGCUAUCCACCGUCGCUCGACCCAAGAAAUAUGCCGAAUAGAGAAUGGAGGCUAGUUUUUCGUCAUCUCUCCACCUCAAUUCCCUUUUUCGGGUCGACUGUAAAAAACUUUACAAAUCCCCAAAUAUUAAUUUUGAACUUUAUUGUGAGAAAAAGAAUGGAAGAAUUCACUUCCAUAUGAAACUUAAGAAAAUUCUUCUGGUUUUUUUUAAUCAAACUCAGACGCCAAUAUCAAUAAGAAAGUUAUCAUCAGAAUACCACCAUUCAUGCGCAAGAAAUUUCUCCACAGUUUACCACCCCAUUUGCUUUUUAAUAAACGCCCCUUAUGUGAAAGCUUAAAAAAAGAGAGUUGCGCGGAGAGAAAGAACAUUCCAUUGUCUCCUUGUUAAUCAAUCCAAAGAAAGUAUCGAAUUAAAAUAAUUGUCGAUUUA